rnacentral:lncRNA from 1 species
UACCAGUGACCAAUGGCAACAAAUACAUCAUUGUGUGCGAUAUGUGAUCUACGACAUCUUACCACAUCGUCCACACACUGGUGUCCAGAAUGUGAAGAAGCACUUUGCGUUGACUGUAAAGAACAUCACAUUCUGUCGAAAGCGUCCCGGGGUCACCAGGUCAUCACUAUAUCAGACUACAAUAGUUUACCUCCGUUCAUCGCUAGCAUCAACAUAUUUUGUACUCAUCACAAUGAGAAGUACACACAAUACUGUGUAAAGCACGAGGUUCCUAUUUGUUACAAAUGUAUAAAAGAACAUGGCAACUGUGGAGGACUGACACUUCUAGAGGACCUUGCUAUCGAUGUUAAAUCAUCUGAGG